rnacentral:rRNA from 1 species
AGAUAAUAGAUACCCUGGUAGUCCACGCCGUAAACGAUGAUGACUAGCUGUCGGGGCUCUUGGAGUUUCGGUGGCGCAGCUAACGCGUUAAGUCAUCCGCCUGGGGAGUACGGCCGCAAGGUUAAAACUCAAAGAAAUUGACGGGGGCCUGCACAAGCGGUGGAGCAUGUGGUUUAAUUCGAAGCAACGCGCAGAACCUUACCAGCGUUUGACAUGGUAGGACGGUUUCCAGAGAUGGAUUCCUUCCCUUACGGGACCUACACACAGGUGCUGCAUGGCUGUCGUCAGCUCGUGUCGUGACGAUGUUGGGUU